ACGACCGUAGGCGUUGGAUCACUCGGCUCGUGCGU
rnacentral:rRNA from 1 species